rnacentral:rRNA from 1 species
UGGGGAAUAUUGGACAAUGGGCGAAAGCCUGAUCCAGCAAUUCCGCGUGUGUGAAGAAGGCCUUCGGGUUGUAAAGCACUUUAGUGGGGGAAGAAACAGCUUGGCCACACCAAGCCUUGACGGUACCCCAAGAAUAAGCACCGGCUAACUCUGUGCCAGCAGCCGCGGUAAUACAGAGGGUGCAAGCGUUAAUCGGAUUUACUGGGCGUAAAGGGUGCGUAGGUGGUUUUUUAAGUCGGAUGUGAAAGCCUGGGGCUCAACCUCAGAAUUGCAUUCGAUACUGGGAAACUAGAGUUCGGUAGAGGGCGGCGGAAUUUCCGGUGUAGCGGUGAAAUGCGUAGACAUCGGAAGGAACAUCAAUGGCGAAGGCAGCCGCCUGGGCCUGGACUGACACUGAGGCACGAAAGCGUGGGUAGCAAACA